GCGAGAGUGGCGAAACUGGCAGACGCGCUGGAUUUAGGUUCCAGUGCCGCAAGGCGUGCGGGUUCGAAUCCCGCCUCUCGCA
rnacentral:tRNA from 1 species